CCUACGGGUGACUGCAGUAGGGAAUAUUGCUCAAUGGGGGAAACCCUGAAGCAGUAACGCCGCGUGGAGGAUGAAGGUUUUCGGAUUGUAAACUCCUUUUGUUAGAGAAGAUAAUGACGGUAUCUAACGAAUAAGCACCGGCUAACUCCGUUCCAGCAGCCGCGGUAAUACGGAGGGUGCAAGCGUUACUCGGAAUCACUGGGCGUAAAGGGCGCGUAGGCGGGAUAGCAAGUCAGAUGUGAAAUCCUAUGGCUUAACCAUAGAACUGCAUUUGAAACUGAUAUUCUAGAGUUUGGGAGAGGUAGGUGGAAUUCUUGGUGUAGGGGUAAAAUCCGUAGAGAUCAAGAGGAAUACUCAUUGCGAAGGCGACCUGCUAGAACAUAACUGACGCUGAUGCGCGAAAGCGUGGGGAGCAAACAGGAUUAGAUACCCGAGUAGUC
rnacentral:rRNA from 1 species